CCUGAGAAGAGCCUGCCUGGGAGGGGAUGAACAGGCCAGGGGCUUCACCCUCUACCCCGGGAUAACCUGCAUCGUGACCUCUCCAUUUACUCCUCAUCCACCCUACCCUAAACUCCCACAUCAGCCCAAACUUAAGCAGGCGCCCCAGCCCGGGGCCUGGCCCCUUCUCACUCCCCACGGUUUCCCUCUUACCCCUGUUUCCUGGCCUCUCAGGCCCCUAGCUCUAAUCCCCCCAGGCAUCAGGACGAGCAUCGAGUGACCUCAUGCUGAUGACUCAGCAAGUCUCCUUCUGGGCUCUGGCAAGCGUGUGACGGAGCGAAGCCGGAGCGGGCAGGGUCUUCCCAGCACCCCCCCCCACGUGCCGCUUCCUCCCCCUAGCCAGCCGAGGACCCUGAGCCUGGGAGGCGUUGACACAGACACCUGAUGAAUCAGCAGCUCAGGCUGGGGCCGCCGAGCUCUUCCACGGAGCCCUGGGCGCCCCGCUCGACCCCACCCUUUCCUCCCGCCACCCCGGCCGUCCCUCCCUCCAGGACUCCCCGGCUUCACCGAGCAAGACCAGCGCACGCCCCACCCCGCCCCUGCGGGCCCGCGCGCCCACCCCAGCACCCCCGGCGGAGGGACCAGGAGCCGCUCCGGACCGGAACAGUGGCCUGGCACACAGGAGACCCAUACGCUCCCAGAGGUGAAGGGCUUGUCCAGGAUUCAAAACUUAGGUCUGCUCAAGGCCGCCUCCAAGAUCCUCUGUGUAGUGUGGUCUGUCUUCACGCAACAUCCCAAGAGCUCACAUGAGUGACAAGGACUCAGGCGGUUCCUGGAACGAGUCCGGCUCAGGCAUCUGCCUGGAACUCAAGUCACUGGUCCAUGUCUGCUCCUGCACUUUCUAUAAGGAGUUCUCACUGCUGUUCAAAAUUCCUAGAGAAAGAGGUGACGAAAAGAAGGGAAAUUGAAGGGAUCCAAUUUCUACUUUGACUUACCUUCUCAAGUGUAAAGCCAGGAAGGGUGAUCUACCCUGCCAAGCAGUACACGGGCCUCUCACUUGUGGCCUCUCCCGUUGCGGAGCACAGGCUCAGGACGCGCAGGCUCAGCGGCCAUGGCUCACGGGCCUAGCCAUUCCGCGGCAUGUGGGAUCUUCCCGGACUGGGGCACGAACCCGUGUCCCCUGCAUCAGCAGGCGGACUCUCAACCACUGCGCCAAUAGGGAAGCCCAAGCCCUCAACUUUUAUUGUACUAAAUCACAAAGACUUGCCCCUGAGGCCAAGAAAGGGGUCCUUUUGGAUCUCUAGCAUCCUCACCACCAGCUGCUGGCUCCUUCUGGCCUGCUCUGCUCAGGUCUGUGCUCACACUUGCAGGGGUUUCCCCAGGUGUCAGUCCCUGCAGAACACCAGAGACCUCAUAGCUUUCUCCCCGCAUCACACCCCUUCUCAGGCCCGUGUGGCUCUGCCCCACUUCCCCACAUCUGGCCUUUGGUGGUUGGGACCAAGGCUCACAUUCCUGCCUGCUGAAACCCAGUGUGUUUUUCACGGGGUGGCUCAAAGCCCACCGCAAAGCUCGUCUGGACUCCUGUGCCUCCUCCCAGGCUGUGACGUGUGAUUCUUCACUUUAGAGCCACCUCCUGGCUUCCUCCAGACCCCAGACCCAGGGCACAUGUGGGAGCAGCAUGCCCCCCUUGUCUUAUUGGUCAGCACCUGCCACACACAGCAGGCACUCAAACAGUGAGACUGGCCUUGACUUAAGGGAACAGUCAGGGGGAAGCUUUGGUCCUGGGCAGAUGUGUGGCCUUUGGGACAAUCUCUUCUGGGACAUCUUUUCCCCAGAGGGAGGGUGCCAGGGUCUCCCUGCACUGCCAAGUACUUUGCCAGGGGAGGCCCACAGCCCACCUCAUGCCAGCUUCUAUCCACCAGCAUGGUGGCCUGUGCCAGGGGCUUAUGCCUUAGGAGGGCCCUGUAGGGGCUCUAGGCCCCGUGAGGGCCUUGGGCAGUCAGUACAUGGGGUGUGACCUGGACUCUGGAGGCCACCCUGGCAGGGGCAAGGGUAUGUGGUCUUGCCCCUCACUUGCUCUGUUUUUCGUCUCCUGUAGAUUUGGAAGGUCGGGUCCUUGUCCGCAGAGUGCUCCCUCCACCUACCCCGCUUGCAUCAGGCCUUGGUUCUAAGUGGACCCAGGGGAAGGAAAUGAACUGGACUUGAGACCUUGCAAUGUAGUUCCUGGAAAACCUCUGCCCAGGGGCUCUCCUGGUCCCCUCCCCUGCCCCUCCUGGGACCCAUCGCUUCACCUGGGUGCCCCCUGCCAACACCCUACAGACACCCAGCCCCGCUCCUCUGAUAUACUCACCCGUGUGUGUGUGUGUGUGUGUGUCUUACUGUUUCUAUGCUCAGUAACUGUUGAUCAAACAAAUGUCAGCCCUCCUGGCCCCAUAAAGGGUUCUGACCUAGCAGCUCCUUUGAUCUUGUGGGCCUCCUGUGAUGGUUAAUUUUACAUCAACCUGUGGGCCAUGGGGUGACCAGAUAUUAUUGUUUCUGUGAGGGUGUUUUUGCAUGAAAUUAACAUGUAAAUCGGUAGACUUCAACAUGAGACCAAAUUAACAUUCUAACCAAUAAAGCAGAUUGCCCUCCAUAUGUGGGUGGGCAUCACUCAAGCAGUUGAAGGCCUGAAUAGAACAGAAGACCAACCCGCUGCAGAGUAAGACAGAAUUCUCCAUCAGUCUGCCUUCAGACAUCACCUGCAACAUCAGCUCUCCCUGCCUGAUGGCCUUUGAAUCGAAAUAUUGGCUCUCUCCAGGUCUCCAGCCUGCCUGCUAGCCUCCAUAAUUGUGUGAGCCAACUCCUUAUA